AUUGAACGCUGGCGGCAUGCCUUACACAUGCCAGUCGAACGGUAACAGGUCUUCGGCCGCUGACGAGUGGCGAACGGGUGCGUAAUACAUCGGAACGUGCCCGAUCGUGGGGGAUAACGAGGCGAAAGCUUUGCUAAUACCGCAUACGAUCUACGGAUGAAAGCGGGGGAUCUUCGGACCUCGCGCGGACGGAGCGGCCGAUGGCAGAUUAGGUAGUUGGUGGGAUAAAAGCUUACCAAGCCGACGAUCUGUAGCUGGUCUGAGAGGAUGAUCAGCCACACUGGGACUGAGACACGGCCCAGACUCCUACGGGAGGCAGCAGUGGGGAAUUUUGGACAAUGGGCGAAAGCCUGAUCCAGCCAUGCCGCGUGCAGGAUGAAGGCCUUCGGGUUGUAAACUGCUUUUGUACGGAACGAAAAGCCUCUUUCUAAUAAAGAGGGGUCAUGACGGUACCGUAAGAAUAAGCACCGGCUAACUACGUG
rnacentral:rRNA from 1 species